UACGUAGGGUGCAAGCGUUAAUCGGAAUUACUGGGCGUAAAGCGUGCGCAGGCGGUGAUGUAAGACAGAUGUGAAAUCCCCGGGCUCAACCUGGGAACUGCAUUUGUGACUGCAUGGCUGGAGUGCGGCAGAGGGGGAUGGAAUUCCUGGUGUAGCAGUGAAAUGCGUAGAUAUCUGGAGGAAUACCGGUGGCGAAGGCGGCAUCCUGGACCGAGAUUGACACUGAGGAGCGAAAGCCAGGGGAGCAAGCGGG
rnacentral:rRNA from 1 species